GAUGAACGCUGGCGGCGUGCCUAAUACAUGCAAGUCGAGCGAAUGGAUUAAGAGCUUGCUCUUAUGAAGUUAGCGGCGGACGGGUGAGUAACACGUGGGUAACCUGCCCAUAAGACUGGGAUAACUCCGGGAAACCGGGGCUAAUACCGGAUAACAUUUUGAACCGCAUGGUUCGAAAUUGAAAGGCGGCUUCGGCUGUCACUUAUGGAUGGACCCGCGGCGGAUGAGCUAGUUGGUGAGGUAAAGGCUCACCAAGGCAAUGAUGCGUAGCCGACCUGAGAGGGUGAUAGGCCACGCUGGGACUGAGACACGGCCCAGACUCCUACGGGAGGCAGCAGUAUGGAAUCUUCCGCAAUGGACGAAAGUCUGCCGGAGCAACUCCGCGUGAUUGAUGAAGGCUUUCGGGUCGUAAAACUCUGUUGUUAGGGAAGAACCAGUGCUAGUUGAAUAAGCUGACACCUUGACGGUACCUAACCAGAAAGCCACGGCUAACUACGUGCCAGCCGCCGCGGUAA
rnacentral:rRNA from 1 species